rnacentral:rRNA from 1 species
UACAGAGGUCUCAAGCGUUGUUCGGAUUCAUUGGGCGUAAAGGGUGCGUAGGUGGCGCCAUAAGUCGGGUGUGAAAUCUCGGGGCUUAACUCCGAAACUGCAUUCGAUACUGUGGUGCUCGAGGACUGGAGAGGAGACUGGAAUUUACGGUGUAGCAGUGAAAUGCGUAGAGAUCGUAAGGAAGACCAGUGGCGAAGGCGGGUCUCUGGACAGUUCCUGACACUGAGGCACGAAGGCCAGGGGAGCAAACGGG